rnacentral:rRNA from 1 species
UACGAAGGGGGCUAGCGUUGUUCGGAAUCACUGGGCGUAAAGCGCGUGUAGGCGGUCCGGUAAGUCCGCUGUGAAAGUCGGGGGCUCAACCCUCGGAUGCCGGUGGAUACUGUCGGGCUUGAGUACGGAAGAGGCGAGUGGAAUUCCUGGUGUAGCGGUGAAAUGCGCAGAUAUCAGGAGGAACACCAAUGGCGAAGGCAGCUCGCUGGGACGGUAUUGACGCUGAGACGCGAAAGCGUGGGGAGCAAACAGG